CUCAAGUUUAGCUUAUGCCUAUAUGAUUUUAAUAACUCUUUAAGGCGGAAUAAAUUGGAUAAUUCAGCAUAUUAUAUACAUUGAGCCUUCCUACAGGCCAAGAGGAAGAAUUACAUCAAAUUUGACUAUAUUGACAAGAUCACAAUAUUUAAUGGAGAAAGAUUAUAGAAAUCAUAUAGGCAUAAGCUAAACUUGAGCCACCUUUAACAUGAUGGGUAUGAGGAUAAGUGAUGUGAAGGUGGGAGACAAAAGGUUGGAGGACUUAUUGGAGCAUUGGAGGAAGCCCACCCGCUUCAUAUAAGCAUGUCCCCAAGGCCAAAGGUUUUUGGUCAUGGAAAUCUUACAUUCUAUAUUUUGCUCAAAUCAGAUAUAAGCCUCUGUCCGUUGCCAUUUGCCAACCCAUUGAUCUACCUCUUGGUGAC
rnacentral:misc_RNA from 1 species